AUACGGAGGAUGCAAGCGUUAUCCGGAUUUAUUGGGUUUAAAGGGUGCGUAGGCGGUUUGCUAAGCGGGAGGUGAAAUGCCGGCGCUCAACGUCGGAAGUGCCUCCCGAACUGGUGGACUUGAAUGACUCUGCCGUGGGAGGAAUGUGUAGUGUAGCGGUGAAAUGCUUAGAGAUUACACAGAACACCGAUUGCGAAGGCAUCUCACGAAGGGUUGAUUGACGCUGAGGCACGAAAGCGUGGGGAUCAAACAGGAUUAGAUACCCUGGUAGGCCACGCAGUAAACGAUGAUGGCUAACCGCUGGGCUUAUCAGUUCAGUGGCCAAGCGAAAGCGAUAAGCCAUCCACCUGGGGAGUACGACCGCAAGGUUGAAACUCAAAUGAAUUGACGGGG
rnacentral:rRNA from 1 species